rnacentral:rRNA from 1 species
AGCGAACGCUGGCGGCAGGCCUAACACAUGCAAGUCGAACGAACUCUUCGGAGUUAGUGGCGGACGGGUGAGUAACACGUGGGAACGUGCCUUUAGGUUCGGAAUAACUCAGGGAAACUUGAGCUAAUACCGGAUGUGCCCUUCGGGGGAAAGAUUUAUCGCCUUUAGAGCGGCCCGCGUCUGAUUAGCUAGUUGGUGAGGUAAAGGCUCACCAAGGCGACGAUCAGUAGCUGGUCUGAGAGGAUGAUCAGCCACAUUGGGACUGAGACACGGCCCAAACUCCUACGGGAGGCAGCAGUGGGGAAUCUUGCGCAAUGGGCGAAAGCCUGACGCAGCAAUGCCGCGUGAAUGAUGAAGGUCUUAGGAUUGUAAAAUUCUUUCACCGGGGACGAUAAUGACGGUACCCGGAGAAGAAGCCCCGGCUAACUUCGUG